rnacentral:rRNA from 1 species
AUUGAACGCUGGCGGCAUGCCUUACACAUGCAAGUCGAACGGCAGCACGGGAGCUUGCUCCUGGUGGCGAGUGGCGAACGGGUGAGUAAUACAUCGGAACGUACCCUGAAGUGGGGGGAUAACGUAGCGAAAGUUACGCUAAUACCGCAUAUUCUGUGAGCAGGAAAGAGGGGGAUCGCAAGACCUCUUGCUUUAGGAGCGGCCGAUGUCGGAUUAGCUAGUUGGUGAGGUAAAGGCUCACCAAGGCGACGAUCCGUAGCGGGUCUGAGAGGAUGAUCCGCCACACUGGGACUGAGACACGGCCCAGACUCCUACGGGAGGCAGCAGUGGGGAAUUUUGGACAAUGGGCGCAAGCCUGAUCCAGCCAUGCCGCGUGAGUGAAGAAGGCCUGG